AGCCCAUGAAGCCAUUAAUGGAAGCCACGUUACCCGGGCAUCGGACCAUGAACCCCUGUCCUGUGUGGGAGCGGAAGAAUGGCCUUGUGUACCUAUUCUUCAUCUGUGUGCGGGGCCACGUCACUGAGUGUCAACAGAUCGUAUCGGGCAGGAAUGCUGCCCGCCUCUGCUUCAUCUGCAGUCAGGAUUCUGGCUGUUCGUGGAGUGAGACCAAGAGAUCCUGAGCCAUGUGCGGGGGGACUGCACCAGCCCUGACAGGAACUCUGAGCCAGCUCAAAGCUAAUUGGCUUAGGACCCAACUGUUGUUAGAAGGAUUGCCCUGGGAGGCAACCACUGCCAGGACAGUGGAAGCCAGGAUAGCAGAGGUUACCAAAGUCCACAGGGAAUCCAAAAAUGUAAUACUCUGCUCCCGACCAUUCUUCACUUCUCCUCCAAAGAGCAAAAUGAAAAUCAUGCCAUAGCUCCUGCAGUGGGAAGAGCACUGGACGGUGGGUUGAGAGACCAUGAUGUAGUUCUGGCUCUGUCACUGGCUUGCUCUGGGACUUUGGACAUGUCACCUGAACUCUCUGGGCCUCAGGUCUCCAUCUGUAGAAUGAGAGGCUUGGUUCUGGGAUUUUUUUACUUCUUCCCAUUCCUAGGAGAGGCCCAGUGCCUGCAUGCUCCCUGAUCAGCAAGUCCUGGCUGCAUAUGGGACUCUGAUCUCAAAAUGGAAGUCCAAUGACUCAGCUUUUCCAAUGGCUUGCCACUUAUCCAAGCAUGAAGUUACAAGCAGAUGUCCCGGCACAAAGAAAGGUCCAGAUGGACUGUCCUGUUUUUAAUAACAAAACACCCACACCCUUCUAAUCAUGCUCAGAGCUCUCCAGGCUCUCUAGAGAAGCUGGACAGAACAGUAGAAUCAUGAGGUCACCUAUGUUCUCCAGCUUUGCAGCUCUGCUCAAGCUUCCCUGCCUCAGCCCGCAAGCAUUCUCUCCGACAGAGAAAAUGAGAAGCUCAGUGUCCCAGUGGUCCUUGAUAGUGGUACUUCUGGACUCUGAUGGCAUGACUCCUAUCAAAGAUGAACUGGACGUUCAUUUAUUAGGACAGUUCUUAAUGGGAAAAGGACAUUCGUUAGGACUGUAAAGCACUGGACAAAACUUCCCACGGUCUCUGCCCUCGAGGAGCUCACAGGUGGUAGGGCUGGAAGAGGAAGAAGAUAAAUGCAACUGGUGGGGCAGUUUGUAGAUGCUGGGCUCUAAGUUAGGAGUGAUGGUAGCUCCUAAUGUCAUUAUCUUAGUUGCAUCUUCCUUGGUCCUGGAGGCAUCUGCCCCGGGCUUGUCUACGCUGCUGGGUUUCUCAGUUUGUUUUUUCCAGGGUGCUGUCUGGGCCCAUCAGGAAGCUCUCCAGACUCCCAAACCUCUGCAUCAGGCCUGUGUGUUUGGAUCUACCGAAAUCACUGAUGGGGAAGGAGGGAAUGCUUCUCUGUCUGGGGCUGAACUUUGCCACAGCCGGGUCUCUCAGAUGAGAGCAGAUGGCUGCUCUUAUUUUAGGUCGUUUCCCCCCUCGCCUGUUACUGUGACAGACAUUUCUAUCAUGAGAGAUUUCUUUUUUGUCCCUGUUUUGGGUGGGUAUUGCCCUAAACAGGUGCCAGGUGCAUAUAUUUGGGUGCUGGGUAAUGAUCCUGGAGAGCAGGUUUGAGUCAUGGCGCACAGCCUAGGGGGCCAGGGGUUGCAGACACACCAGUCAGAUGGCAGAAAGUCCUACAGCAUGAAAAGAGAGAUUAACUUCACCUACUUCUGCAUAUGGCUUAAGCCCAGGGCUUAAUGUGGCUUUUAAAAAUCCCCCCAGCCUCCCAUACAUGUGCCAAAGUUAUCUUCCCAAUACCUGGUUAUGAUCAUUCAUUUACUCAUUUGUAUGUUUAUCUAUUUCUCCAGUUGGGUGCCUGUGCAUAAUGUGAGGUCCUUUCUGUUGCCAUUCCCUGGUUGAAAAUCACUGCCUGGUUGAAAAGCAAUAGCUCCACCUGGCCGGCUGAAGGGUGUUUACAUUUAGCCUGGCAUGUGGGACCUUCAGCAGGUGGGUGAAAUGGUGACUAGUCAUCUCUACUUCUCUAUGUGAAGCCGCCGUCAGAGAGGACCUCUGUCAAGUUGGCAAGUGGAGAGGGGUUGGGCUCCGGGAGUGGGCAGAGUCGGGGGUACAGGUAGGAACUGGGGAGGGGAGAGAGUUGAAAGGGAGGCCCCCUCCUCUGAGUAGUAGCAACUCCUCCGUCAGCACAGCUUUCCUGAGCAUACCUCAAGUAGACAGGAAUGGGGAGGUGGCUAAGUUAUACAGCCAGAGUUGAGGGUGGAGAAGAUAACAUGGGACUCCUUCGGGACCAUCCAAAAAGGGAGUCAAGGAAGGGAGCCAAGUCUAAUGCCACUGAGGACCACAGAUGUCCAGUUGUCCUAAGAUAUCUCAUCCAUCUUUCAGUUGCCUCUUUCUUCUUCCUCUUUGCCUCAUGUUUGCUUCUCCUUGAAGACUAGCAGUGAAACUUUUUUUGUAUGUGUCCUUUUUUUUUUUAGGGCCACAUCUGCGGCAUAUGGAAAUUCCCAGAUUAGGGGUCAAAUCAGAGCUAUAGCCGCCGGCCUACACCACAGCCACAGCCAUGUGGAAUCUGAGCCAAGUCUGCAACCUACACCUCAGCUCAUGGCAACACCAGAUCCUUAACCCACUGAGCAAGGCUAGGGAUCGAACCUGUGUCCUUAUGGAUACCAGUCGGGUUCGUUUCCACUGAGCCACGAUGGGAACACCAACAGUGAAACUCUUAAUAGGUGAAGGACCGAUGUGUGUGUUUCAAGUAUAGCAAGAAAAGAGGACUGGGGGCAGGGGCCAUCCAGGAUAAGGAUUAGGGAAAGGAGCAGAGGGGUGACAGCAGCUUUGAAGGAAAAAAAACAGCAAGUGGGAGUCCUAGCACCUUUAGGAAGAAAGAGAAAGGGGCACAGACAACGCCUGGGCUGGAGAGAUAGUGUGGGUGGUGGCUGCUGUGAAGGCAAAAUGACAGCAGGCUAGAGCUGUUGCUGAAAUGUGUGGGAAGGGAAAGAGGCCCACACCGGUCAGGCUGCACAAGUUCUGACCCAACCUGUAACUUUAAGCUCUCUGUGUGCCAGGUGACAAGCAGAAAGGGCUGUAGGCACUCCACCUCGUCAGGGUCCUCAGGGCCUGGGACCUAUACCAGGAAUUGGUUCCCUAACAGCCAGUUUCAGCCACAGCAUGUUGGGAAAAUGCAAAGAUAGAGCAGGUGAUGGCAGCUGUGAAGAAAAGAGGAACGCAGACUGGAGGCCUCCAGUCUAGCAGCAUGAAGAGAAGACUGUGUAGGCUGUGGUCCCGAGGCCCGGGCCCUGUCCUCGGACCCUUAGGAUGGACCCAUCCAGCGCAGAUGGCCCUCUGUUAGGGGUGCAGGAAGGCCCACCUAGGGGCCUCCCACUGGCAUGCACCCAGACCAGCCUCCUCAUUCAGCCACUGGCCCGGCUUAUGCUAACGCCUGGUUCACUCACUCCUGGGCCCCUAACGUUUACUGCAGGCCUUUGUAAUUUGGACCUGCUCCUCCUGAUCACCAGGCUCCCCUCAGAUACCCACAGGGUGUCAUGCAGCUGCAGCCAGGGAUAAGCAAGCUGGCACAGAGGUGGGCCCGAGGGCAGCAGGGCUCAUUACUUCCACUUUGGGCAGAUUAGGCUGCUAAGACUUCUCCAAAAAGCUGCAAAGCUUCCCCACUGCAUUACCCAGUGGCUGUCACGUUAUCCUUGCCUGUGCUGCCAGAAUGCACGGCCCGAGCUCCUUGGUUCUUAACCCAGGCUGCCCUGAGUUAUUGUCUGUGUUGGGAACUCCCUGAGGGCCAAGUCCGUCUCACACCUCUCUGCAUCCUUUUUACUUUGAACCACAGUGACUUAUUUAUAAAUACAUUUUUCUUUCCUAUUUUGAAUUCCCUGAAGGUAAGGACUGUCUGACGCCUCUCUGUCCUCUGCACCUCGCAUGGGGCCUGGCAUAGAAUAGACAGCAGUAAAGGUGUGCUGAAUGAACAAAGGGGUCAAAGACCCUUGGCCUUCUGGAGCUGACUGAAAGGGCAGGCGAGUCCCCCCAUGGGAGGAGGGGUUGUGUCCCUCUGUGGCUGGCACGGCACUCUCAGCCUAUUGAAUGCUGGGUCCAAAUGAGUCUCCUCUGUGGGGACCUACAUCCAGGCCAGUCACACAGCACUUGCCGCAAGUGAGCUGCUCUCAGGCUUCAGCUUGCGUCCUGCCUGGCUGUCCCAGGAUCACAGCCCAAGCCUAAAGCCAAGCUUUGACUUGGGGCUUCUCACUGCACUGGAAUCCCCCUCUGUGGCGGAGUGGAUUCUCUGGGACUCAGGGAGAUACCAGGGCUCAGUGCGUUUGGGUGUGCUUUGGCUUUGUGAUGCCAAGUGCCAGAAAUGCUCUCUGUACUAUAAGAACCACCAUGACUCUUGGAAACAAGGAAGAUGAAUAAAUAGCUUAAUUCUGAUGGCUACUGUUUUGUUGUCAUUGAGGAAACAGUGAGACAUUUAUCACCCCGAUACUUAUAUUUAGUUUGCAGCCAACUACUUUCAAAAAAUGAAUUUGAGGCACUUUCUUGCUUUUCAUUAAGAACUUUAACUUUCCGAAAACCUGAUUAAUAAUAAUCCUUUGCAUUUUCACACACUGUCAUUUGAACAUAGUUUCCUUCUGAGAGAAGCAGGGCAGAGAUUAGCGUGACUGGUGUGGCUGCAUAUUACAUACUAGCCAUUAAGUGGAGGACUUAGGAUGCACAGAAUCACCCCUGGCUGACACCAGCCCCAUGCUUGUCACUGCGUGUCUUUCUAUUUUGAAAAUAACCUUGAGGUUAUUCUUAAAUGGAAGCUGGAGAGGCCACACAUAUUUUCCUCAGUUAAGUGGGGUGAUAGCUUUAACUUAACUCAUGGUUUUUGCUUGACGGUUUGUCCCAUUGAAAUGCUUAAUGCACUGCUGAACUUUGUCAAAUGUUUCAGCAAAAAUCCUCAAGUUCUACUUAAGUAGGUCAAUCUGCUUUCUUAAAUUGACUAUUGAAAAACUUUCAAAUGAGCCUUUCGUCAUAACACUAAGUAAUAUAAAGAUGAAAGAAUAAAUGAAGUUCUGAGAACUUCUCAUUUUCCUCUUAAAAAUCAUUUUACAGGGAGUUCCCAUCAUGGUGCAGCGGAAACGAAUCCAACUAGGAAUGAUGAGGGUGUGUGUUCGAUCCCUGGCCUUGCUCAGUGGGUUAAGGAUCUGGCAUUGCCAUGAGCUGUGGUGUAGGCUGGCUGUUGUAGCUCCUAUUGACCCCUAGCCUAGGAACCUCCAUAUGCCUCGAGUGCAGCCCCCCCCAAAACUGUUUUACAAUAAUUAUUUAUAUUAUCACUUUUUAAAAUCCAAUGAUCUAUUUUAUUCUUGUACGUUCUGUUGGAUUACUAACAGGGACCUGUGGGUUUGAGAGGAAUGUGCACUACUAUAUAAAGUCUAGUGCUUAGUUUAUUAAACUCAUUCAAUAAAACAUUGAAAACCUCUUGAAUAUUUAAACAGUGACAAAUUUGAUUAAACUGCUUAAAUAUAAUUACCAGUUACAAAUUUAGUAUAGCUGAUCCUUUUGAAUAUUUCAAAUAGUAGGUAAGAUUUGCAUAAAUCUAAUGAGUAUAAAACAUAUCCUUAUACCAAAAAUGGAGUACAAGAGAGCGGAUGCCAUGGAUUUAACUUUGGGAGUUCUUUCAGACCUCUUUAGAGUUUUAGUAACUUGAAGAUUUUGUCCCCUUAUCUUCCUAGGGAUUUAGUAAUAGCAUAUUCGAAGGAAGAAGAAUAGCAUUUCAGGUAAACUCUCUGUUUUGCUGGGAGCAUUAAACUGGGAAGUUUGGAGGCCUGGGAACACAACGAGCCAUCUCGCCCUCAGCCAGGGGACAAUGCCUGUAUGGGGCAGAAGCCUGAAAGAACUGAGCCAGGCAACGCCAGUCCUGAUGUCAUCCACGAGGAUCCUCCCUGUUACGGGAAUCUGACCCCCGACCUUUGAUUUUUAUUUAUUUCUUAAGCGAAUAUGGACUGGAUGUAUAUAGCUUGCAACCAGGGGAAUAUAAACUUUGAUUACUUGGUACCACAACCUGUCAGUCACUCCCUGGAGCAGAACUACAAGCUGUGAGAAAUGUCAGUUGAGUCUACUAAAGUUUGACAGUGUUACCUGAAGGGUAUAUUACCAGGAGAGACACUGGGAUGGAAUGGAGAAAGGACCAGACUAGGAAGUCAGGAGUCCAGGGUCUUGGCCUGACCCGAUGGGCCCUCUCUGGGAACCCAUUUAUUCACCUAUGGCAGGAGCAUGCUCCGAGCCCUGAGAUUCACCUCGGAGUCGUGUGGAUCUGAUGAGCUAGCGAAUCCUCAAAAGAAUUUAGGAAAUGGAGUCAUUUACUGUAGAUAGGGGAUAAAUGACUUCACUCCUUCACCUUCACUGGCAACACUGGACAGUUAGGCUGAAAACGAGGGCGAUGGAUGGAGGGGAGGAGAGGAAGGCGUGGCCCACUGAGGAGGGCUCGCCAAAGCUGGACAGCCAUCUGGCCUUGCCUCCGUCGCAUCCUCAGCAAACCACAGGCUUUAUGAUUUUGCCCAAUUUUCUGACUUCGCCCCAGACCUUUUGCUCCCUUACUAAGGAAUGGCCCAGCCUGUAUAUAGAAAAGGAAAUCUCAGCUUCAAGUAGGAAGGGACUUGGUCUGAGUCAUUGCUAUUCCCCAUUCCCACUGCAGGGCCAGGUUAUAGCACAACGUGGGAAAGACGAUGCGAGGGGCGUAACACUGAUAAAGUGCCUGCUGUCUGCUUAGAGUUAUACAUAGAUUCUCCCAUUUCAUUCAACAAUCACAUGAUAUAUUGCAAGGUCACACACCUGUAAGUAAUGGAGUCUAUAAUUUUGCCAUAUGGCAAAUAAGGAGCAGAACUCUUGGUGAUGCUUACCCUGCAGGUUGCUACAAAGCAGAGGCAGUGCCUCUUAGGUCCUUGGAACAGGGUGGGCAUUCUGCAGCUAGUAAGAGGCUGCUGCUUCUGCUGAUCCCUGUGAUAGUAAGUUCUCUAGAGUGGCCUCUCAGACCGAAGGUCUUCCCCUUCUGUUUCAUCCAAGAGAAAGGCAUUAAUUUCUCCCCUUGGGAGCCUAGAUCCAGCUGGAAAUUACUUUCCAAUACCCUCAACCUUCAGUGCAGCUGCCUUCCAAGUCCCAGAGUCAUCCUAAACAUAGAUUUUGUUGUCAUCAACUAGGAAUAGAAACACAAAUGAGAGCAUAAGCUCCUUUGAGGGGUAAACAUAGAACUUUGGUAGCAGGUGAAGCUGACCUAGGGCAGAGUGAGGUCAGGAGCCUGUGCGCACUGGGUGGGUCUCCGACUGAGCCGCAAGUUGGAGAUAGUGAGGCUGCCUCUGCAUUUCCCCACUGUGGGCCAGUCCCUGGGGCUGCACCCUGUGCCAGGCCUGAGGCCAUCAUGCAAGGUGGGUGGUCCUUCAGCACUGUCUCUAAUCCUCGCAACAACCAGGAUGGCAAGACAUUGUCUCUGCCCUACAGACGAGGAAACUGAGCCUUGGAAAGGAUAAACGACUUGGCAGUUAACUGUAAUUUCUUCAUCUGUAAAAACUAGGAUACUAAGGGAGUUUUCGUUGUGACUCCACAGGUUAUGAACCCAACUAGUAUCCAUGAGGAUGUGGGUUCAAUCCCUGGCCUCGCUCAGUGGGUUAAGGAUCCAGUGUUGUCCUGAGGUGUGAUGUAGGUCACAGAUGCAGCUCAGAUCUGGCAUUGCUGUGGCUGUGGUGUAGGCUGGCAGCUGCAGCUCUGGUUUGAUCCCUACCCUGGGAACUUCCAUAUGCCACAGAUGCGGCCCUAAAUAAAGAAAAGAAAACAACAAAAACAAAAAGAACUAGGAUACUAAAAGUACCCCAAAGCGAUGUUGAAAGUUCUGUGAGAUAAGGUAUUUAAACUUACAAGUUACCAAGUGCCUGGCACGCAGCAGAUACUCAGAAAAUGGAAGCCGCGGUAAUUAUGGUCUUGCCCUGCAGUAAUUAGGUUAGCCCAUCACGUGCCCACGGAAGUGCUUCUAAGCUUGUGUGUGCCUAUGCAUCACCUGAAGAGUUUUUUUUUUAGUUGUCUCCUGCCCUCUGCCUACUCCAGAAUCUAGCUCAGCAGGUUUGGGGUGGGGCCUGAGAAUUUGCAUUUCUACCAAGUCCCCAAGCAAUGCUGAUGCGGCAGAUGCAUGACCUGCUCUUCACUGCUCCCCUCACCUGCCACCUCCACACCCUCACCAGCCCUGUGGGGUGGGAGGAACAGAGAUGGCUAGUACUGCUGUCCAUGUGGUCCCCUUCAGUCUGACCCUGGGUCUCGUCUGAAUUGGCAUGUUCUGCCCUUAGCAGUCACACUGUGGCCACAAGGCAACGGUCCGCCUUACUGUCUCCUGACACCCCUUGCUUUGACUCCUUCUCCUCAGGGGCCUCAGACUUAGAUUUCUUUCAGGUCAAGCCAUUGCAAAAUGGUUAGAAAGCUGCAGCACCUGUCCUACGACUUUGUGUGCUUGACAUGAAAGCUCAGGUACCUGUUGCUGAAGUUGAAUGAUGGAUCUAGGCCAUGGAGUUUGCAUAAGGUUAAGUCCUAUGGAUAGGUAGGAGCUCUGAGGGGGAGGCGCUAUGUCCACUAGUGGCUCCAUCGGAGACCUGCCCAGUGCCCACUUGUUCACCAUACUAUUCCAUCUCCUAGCAUAGUAGGUGCUCAAUAAAUACGUUUUUAAAAAAA
rnacentral:lncRNA from 1 species